UACGGAGGGUGCAAGCGUUGCUCGGAAUUAUUGGGCGUAAAGGGUAGGUAGGUGGUCUCAUUUGUCUGGGGUGAAAGCCUUGAGCUUAACUCAAGAAGUGCCCCAGAAACGGUGAGACUGGAGUCCUGGAGAGGGUCGUGGAAUUCCCGGUGUAGCGGUGAAAUGCGUAGAGAUCGGGAGGAACAUCAGUGGCGAAGGCGGCCAUCUGGGACAACACUGACGCUGAGGCACGAAAGCGUGGGGAGCAAACAGG
rnacentral:rRNA from 1 species